rnacentral:rRNA from 2 species
UCGGUACUAAAUGCAAGUCGAACGAACUCUGGUAUUGAUUGGUGCUUGCAUCAUGAUUUACAUUUGAGUGAGUGGCGAACUGGUGAGUAACACGUGGGAAACCUGCCCAGAAGCGGGGGAUAACACCUGGAAACAGAUGCUAAUACCGCAUAACAACUUGGACCGCAUGGUCCGAGUUUGAAAGAUGGCUUCGGCUAUCACUUUUGGAUGGUCCCGCGGCGUAUUAGCUAGAUGGUGAGGUAACGGCUCACCAUGGCAAUGAUACGUAGCCGACCUGAGAGGGUAAUCGGCCACAUUGGGACUGAGACACGGCCCAAACUCCUACGGGAGGCAGCAGUAGGGAAUCUUCCACAAUGGACGAAAGUCUGAUGGAGCAACGCCGCGUGAGUGAAGAAGGGUUUCGGCUCGUAAAACUCUGUUGUUAAAGAAGAACAUAUCUGAGAGUAACUGUUCAGGUAUUGACGGUAUUUAACCAGAAAGCCACGGCUAACUACGUGCCAGCAGCCGCGGUAAUACGUAGGUGGCAAGCGUUGUCCGGAUUUAUUGGGCGUAAAGCGAGCGCAGGCGGUUUUUUAAGUCUGAUGUGAAAGCCUUCGGCUCAACCGAAGAAGUGCAUCGGAAACUGGGAAACUUGAGUGCAGAAGAGGACAGUGGAACUCCAUGUGUAGCGGUGAAAUGCGUAGAUAUAUGGAAGAACACCAGUGCCGAAAGGCGGCUGUCUGGUCUGUAAUUGACGCUGCUCGCUCGAAAAGUAUGGUGUACAAACAAGAAUUACUACCCUU